UACGUAGGGGGCUAGCGUUGUCCGGAAUCAUUGGGCGUAAAGCGCGUGUAGGCGGUCCGGUAAGUCCGCUGUGAAAGUCGGGGGCUCAACCCUCGAAUGCCGGUGGAUACUGUCGGGCUAGAGUGCGGAAGAGGCGAGUGGAAUUCCUGGUGUAGCGGUGAAAUGCGCAGAUAUCAGGAGGAACACCUAUUGCGAAGGCAGCUCGCUGGGACGUAACUGACGCUGAGACGCGAAAGCAUGGGGAGCGAACGGG
rnacentral:rRNA from 1 species